rnacentral:lncRNA from 1 species
GUGCUUACAAAUAAGAAAGCUAUUAGCAAAUGAAAAUAAAAAAAACCUACCAAUAUGCAAUUUCACCCCAUACCCCUCGCUCUCUAUAUUGUUAUCUAUUUUAAUAAGCAACAGUAUUUUGGCAAAUGAAAAUUCUCAAAAUCCUCAAUCACGCCCUUAUCCCAAAGCCUGGACUUAGUUCGAAAGCUUUAUGGCUCUGACUCAGUAGAGCUGGUUAUCCUCUUUAAUUGGAUUGAUGGCGACAAUUGUAAUUACCUUAGAUGAGAUUGCCUGUAAUGUAAUUAUGCUUCCUUCAUCAGCCUGAGCUGGACUUGUGGAAUCCAUACAGAAGAUGCCUCCAAUUACUGAGAGGUUAAGGAGAGCAUCAUAUUGCUUCACAAAUCAUGUUUGUUACUAUAUAGAAUUUUUAAAAUUAUGUAGGAAGCUGAAGAAAUUAGUCCUCUAAAGCAGCUUUUCUGAUCUAAAGAUGUUCCUGCAUAAGCUAUAAUGUAUAGUGAGAUGGCUACAUUCCAGAAUUGUACUCUUAUUUGAAUAAAAAGCAUAUUUUAAGGAUGUGACAUAGAGUACCAAGAGUAAACUGUAUUUUCUCACUGUUUUGUUACGCCUGUUUAUAGUGAUUGCAUCUUAAAAGAUGCUUUAAAAAAAAAACACAAUACAUAGUAAAGUUUAACUUGAUUUUUUGUGUGAUUGAAAAGUUAUAAUUUCUAAAACGAACAUAAUAAAUAACAGGAGGUAAUUUUAAAAUACUAGUCUUUAUGAUAGAUGGAGCUAUAAUUAAGGAGCCAGCUGCUCUACUACAAUAAUGCCUCUCUCUAUUUUCCAAUUAACACAUGGAGAACUUUAAAAUUUUUCAAUUGGAAGCCCAGCCUCUAAACAGGACAAGUCUGCCAAACGUACUGCAAACACAUGUAGUUUAGGAGAAAUGGCACAUACUGGAAAUCCACCCCAAUCUUAUUAACUUUAGCAUUGCUCUCAUUAAAAAUAGAGCUGCUUAUGGGUUUUUCCUUCUGAAGCAUAUGAAACAUAGAACUUGGAAAUGUGCCCUUUUGAAAAACUUAUUCCUGUAUUCACAAACCAGAUGGUGCACAUCAAAUGCAUCCUGAUUUCCUAAUGAAAUAAAAAAAAGGAUUCCUAUUGUGUUCUUUAAUAAGAUUAACGCAUCCUCAAUUGCUACUUUUGACAGAUACUCCUGGAAAGUUAAACAACUUGGCUAAUGCUGUCCUGCUGGACCUGGACAGGAAGGCCUCGGCUGAGCUGAAGAGCUGGGGCUAUGCUGAGGGGCACUCUGCUUUUAAUUUUUCCAAAGUAGGCUCUAGUAGAGGUGCAAGCCCUGCCACAGCUGCUGCUCACAAAGAAACCUUCUGUCUCUAAAACAUCAGAGACGAAGAGUCUGCUGUCUCAUAAAAAGAGCUAAUCAAGCAAAAAAAAAAAAAAAAAAAA